rnacentral:rRNA from 1 species
UCCUACGGGAGGCAGCAGUGGGGAAUAUUGGACAAUGGGCGCAAGCCUGAUCCAGCCAUACCGCGUGUGUGAAGAAGGCCUUCGGGUUGUAAAGCACUUUAAGUAAGGAAGAAAAGUAUAUUGUUAAUACCAAUAUACCGUGACAUUACUUACAGAAUAAGGACCGGCUAAUUCCGUGCCAGCAGCCGCGGUAAUACGGAAGGUCCAAGCGUUAAUCGGAAUUACUGGGCGUAAAGCGCGCGUAGGUGGUUUAUUAAGUUGGGUGUGAAAGCCCCGGGCUCAACCUGGGAACUGCAUCCAAAACUGAUUCACUAGAGUACGAAAGAGGGAGGUAGAAUUCACAGUGUAGCGGUGGAAUGCGUAGAUAUUGUGAAGAAUACCAAUGGCGAAGGCAGCCUCCUGGUUCUGUACUGACACUGAGGUGCGAAAGCGUGGGUAGCGAACAGGAUUAGAUACCCUGGUAGUCCACGCCGUAAACGAUGACAACCAGCUGUUGGGAAGCAAUGCUUUUCAGUGGCGCAGCUAACGUCUUAAGUUGUCCGCCUGGGGAGUACGGCCGCAAGGUUAAAACUCA